rnacentral:rRNA from 1 species
UACGGAGGAUGCGAGCGUUAUCCGGAUUUAUUGGGUUUAAAGGGUGCGUAGGCGGCUUUUUAAGUCAGCGUUGAAAUUUUGCAGCUUAACUGUAACAGUGCCGUUGAUACUGGGGAGCUAGGAUUUGGUUGCUGUGGGUGGAAUGUGUGGUGUAGCGGUGAAAUGCUUAGAGAUCACACAGAAUAUCGAUUGCGAAGGCAGCUCACAAAGCCAAGAUUGACGCUGAGGCACGAAAGUGUGGGGAUCAAACAGGAUUA